rnacentral:rRNA from 1 species
AGAGUUUGAUCCUGGCUCAGAUUGAACGCUGGCGGCAUGCCUUACACAUGCAAGUCGAACGGUAACGGGUCCUUCGGGAUGCCGACGAGUGGCGAACGGGUGAGUAAUAUAUCGGAACGUGCCCAGUAGUGGGGGAUAACUGCUCGAAAGAGCAGCUAAUACCGCAUACGACCUGAGGGUGAAAGGGGGGGAUCGCAAGACCUCUCGCUAUUGGAGCGGCCGAUAUCAGAUUAGCUAGUUGGUGGGGUAAAGGCCUACCAAGGCAACGAUCUGUAGUUGGUCUGAGAGGACGACCAGCCACACUGGGACUGAGACACGGCCCAGACUCCUACGGGAGGCAGCAGUGGGGAAUUUUGGACAAUGGGCGCAAGCCUGAUCCAGCAAUGCCGCGUGCAGGAAGAAGGCCUUCGGGUUGUAAACUGCUUUUGUCAGGGAAGAAAUCUUCUGGGCUAAUACCCCGGGAGGAUGACGGUACCUGAAGAAUAAGCACCGGCUAACUACGUGCCAGCAGCCGCGGUAAUACGUAGGGUGCGAGCGUUAAUCGGAAUUACUGGGCGUAAAGCGUGCGCAGGCGGCUUUGCAAGACAGAUGUGAAAUCCCCGGGCUCAACCUGGGAACUGCAUUUGUGACUGCAAGGCUAGAGUACGGCAGAGGGGGAUGGAAUUCCGCGUGUAGCAGUGAAGUGCGUAGAUAUGCGGAGGAACACCAAUGGCGAA